rnacentral:rRNA from 1 species
AGAACGAACGCUGGCGGCAGGCUUAACACAUGCAAGUCGAACGGUUGUAGCAAUACAGCAGUGGCAGACGGGUGAGUAACACGUGGGAACCUUCCUAGGGGUACGGAACAACUCAGGGAAACUUGAGCUAACACCGUAUACGUCCGUAAGGAGAAAGAUUCAUCGCCCCUAGACGGGCCCGCGUAGGAUUAGGUAGUUGGUGAGGUAACGGCUCACCAAGCCUACGAUCCUUAGCUGAUCUGAGAGGAUGAUCAGCCACACUGGGACUGAGACACGGCCCAGACUCCUACGGGAGGCAGCAGUGGGGAAUCUUGGACAAUGGGCGCAAGCCUGAUCCAGCCAUGCCGCGUGAGUGAAGAAGGCCUUCGGGUUGUAAAGCUCUUUACCAGGGACGAUAAUGACGGUACCUGGAGAAUAAGCCCGGCAAACUUCGUGUCAGCAGCCGC